UGGUGAAGCGAUUUGUCUGGUUAAUUCCGUUAACGAACGAGACCUCAACCUCCUAAAUAGGGCGGGGUACACGGGCUUGAUCCUCGUGGUCAGGCUAGUAUCCUGAACCCGAUAAACCAACUUCUUAGCGGUACUCACUGUAUAUAAACAGUGGGAAGUUUGAGACAACAACA
rnacentral:rRNA from 1 species